rnacentral:lncRNA from 7 species
GUGGCGGCGUGUGGGAGUCGGCGGGGAGGGCAGUUAGUGUGCGCGUGCGUCGGGGGCGGUCCCGCCGGCCCUGCUGAUGUGGGGCGGGACUCGGCCGGGUCACGUGCCCGCGCCUCAGGUGUGACGCGGCGGGUGGCGGGAGAAUACAAAAGAGAUCCCUCAGCCUGCGCUUGUUCAUCGCAUCUGAUGCUACUUCUUGGGGAAGAUGAUAUUGGACAAAUCCAUGAUUAGAGCCUUUGUAAUGUAAACCAUCCCUACUGUGCUGGAAUUGAUUACACACAUUUGGUGAAGGAUGAUUUGAAUGCUCCACAGGUCUGACUUGAAGUUUUCAGGAGUAGAGUCUGGGCACAUCAAUUUUGAGGUUUCUUCUGGGAUAAUUUGUGGUGAAAUAAAAGCAACAAAAGGAAAUUCCAUGUACCUCCUUCAGGUUCUGAUGGAAGAGGAAUCCUCCCGCAAAGAAAACGUUUUCCAGUUUCCACUGUUCGUAGCAGCAAACGUCCAAAACACAGCAAUGUCCUACAAGAACAGUUGGAGUAAAACAUUGAUUUGACAAUGACUUGUGUUGAAUGCUGACAUAUUUAGUCUGUACGUGCAAAAUUGGUACCUCUGAUUGCCCAGUGAAUAAAUAGCAUAGAUAAGUAG